AACGAACGCUGGCGGCAUGCCUAACACAUGCAAGUCGAACGAAACGUUCCUGCUUUGUGGCGCUCCGCGAGGUGCCACCUGGUAAGCUACACUUAGGUUCGGAAUCCCUCACUGUGGGAUAUGCUCAUACAGCUUAAUCUAAUCGGACCAAAGAUGUCUUGCCUUUGGAUGGGGCCGCGUUGGAUUCGCCAGUUGGUAGGGUACUAGCAUACCAAGGCGACGAUCCAUAGCUGGUCGGAGAGGAUGAUCAGGCACACUGGGACUGAGACACGGCCCAGACUCCGACGGGAGGCAGCAGUGGGGAAUAUUGGACGAUGGGCGAAAGCCUGAUCCAGCAAUGCGGCGUGAGUGAUGAAGGCCGUAGGGUUGUAAAGCUCUUUGACCCGGGAUGAGAAUGACAGUACCGGGAGAAGAAGCACCGGCUAACUCCGUG
rnacentral:rRNA from 1 species